rnacentral:misc_RNA from 1 species
CACUGUCCAUCAUGCUUUUUUGAGUAGUGAAUUGUGGCCUGCUUUGAUAUCUCUUCAAAAAAUAAGUUGCGUCUAACUCAACCUCAAAAGGUAGCUCAAUGGGGGAUUAGUGCUCAAAACUUUAUAAGGGUACAAUACCCAUUUCAUAAACUGAUGUGGAAUAUUAACACAUCCCUUUACACUCAAGAUUGAACACUUGGAGUUGGAGUGUAAAACACUUAUGGGAAACUUAACAUCAAUUGGAAAAUGGGCUGGGCCUAACUUAUUUCCAAAUGUUAGCUCAAGAGGAAAGGAGUUCUCAACCUUCUUUUUCUUUUUAAGAUGGUAUUGGAGUCCUGAUUGAGUUGUGGGUUUCAGUUGUCCAUAAGACUGUAUAAUUGAGACCAUAUUAGGUUAAAUACAAAUUAAUUGUCAAACGACAACCAUGUGGUUGCACUUGAGACGGGAGUGUUGGGAUUAUAAAUCUCACAUCGAGAAAGUAUAAAAAUGAAAGGGUAAAUAUAAUUGGUUAGAUUGCAACAUUAACUUGGCUAGUCA